rnacentral:rRNA from 1 species
CCCUUAGACGUUCUGGGCCGCACGCGCGCUACACUGACCAGUGCAACAAGCAUCCGUCCUUGGCCGACAGGCUCGGGCAAUCUUUGAACGCUGGUCGUGAUGGGGAUAGACUUUUGCAAUUUUUGGUCUUCAACGAGGAAUGCCUAGUAAGCGCAAGUCAUCAGCUUGCGUUGAUUACGUCCCUGCCCUUUGUACACACCGCCCGUCGCUCCUACCGAUUGAAUGGUCCGGUGAAGCGUUCGGACCGUGGCCUUUGGACGGUUCGCCGUCUGUUGGCUGCGGGAAGUUCGUUAAACCUUAUCAUUUAGAGGAAGGAGAAGUCGUANCA